rnacentral:rRNA from 1 species
UACGUACCGUCCAAACGUUAUUCGGAAUUACUGGGCUUAAAGGGUACGUAGGCGGCGCUGUCAGUCGGGUGUGAAAUCCCAGGGCUCAACCCUGGAACUGCGCCCGAUACUGCAGUGCUUGAGGGAGACAGAGGUAAGCGGAACUGAUGGUGGAGCGGUGAAAUGCGUUGAUAUCAUCAGGAACACCAGUGGCGAAAGCGGCUUACUGGGUCUCUUCUGACGCUGAGGUACGAAAGCCAGGGGGAGCGAAGGG